UUUAUGGUUUAUUACUAUUUAUUAUUUAUGGUGCAACUGUAAUGAAAACCAAUUUCCCCCGGGAUCAAUAAAGUAUGACUAUGACUACAUACUACAAAUUGUAUGUGUGGGUAGAACAGAGAAAUUACUGGGGAAAAAACAGGGAAUUCAAAGCUAUAGGGAACUGAUAAAGAAGAUGAGGGAACUCAUGCAGAUUAGUCAUGAUUAUAGCUAAAGGCAGGGCAGGUUGAUGGGUUAAGUACGCUCCUUAUGCUCCUGAUUUUCAAAGUUCAAAGUAAACUUAUUAUCGAAGUAUGUAUAUGGAACUAUAUAUGACCUUGAGAUUCAUUUUCUUGCAGGCAUUCACAGGAAAAUAAAUAAAUGAAUACAAUAGAAUUAAUGAAUUCGAAUCAGGUUUAAUAACGCUGGGAUAUGUCAUGAAAUUUGUUGUAAAGCAGUAGCAGUACAAUGCAAUACAUAAUAAUAAAAACUAUAAAUUACAGUAAAUAUAUAUAUUAUAAAUUUAAAUUCAAUCAGUAAUGCAAAAAGAGGGGGGAAAGUAGUGAGGUAGUGUUCAUGGGUCAAUGUCCAUUCAGAAAUCAGAUGGCAGAGGGGUUCCUGAAUUGUUGAGUGUGUGUAUAUGAAAAACUAUACGUAAACAAAGAUUGACAACCAAUGUGCAAAAGAAGGCAAAUUGUGUAAAUAAAUAAACAAACAAGUAAAUAAAUACUGAGAACAGGUGAUUAGCAAGUUCCGGCCCGAAUUUUUUUUUCCACAGGUGCUGCCUGGCCUGCUGAAUUCCUCCAGUAUUUUGUGUGUGUCGCUCAGAUUUCGAGCAUCUGCAGAUUUUCUCGUUUGUGACAUGAGUGGUAGAGCGUUUGAAAGUCAGCCUGUAGGUUGUGGGAUCAGUUCAGUGUUAUGGUGAGUGAAGUAAUCCCUACUUCACCGGGAUCAAUAAAGUAUGACUAUGACUAAGAAAUCCCUACUAGUCAGGAGCCCGAUUGGUGACGGGAAAUAACUUCCUGUAUCUGGAGGUGUGGGAUCCAAGACUUCUGUACCUCCUUCCCGAUGGCAGCCAGAAAUGUACGUCCUUAUAUUAAUUUUACGGUCAGAAUCGAGCCAAAUUCUACUUCAAGCUGAAUACUUAAAAAGUAAUUUUUAGAAAAUAGAAACAAAGAGGAAAAAAUGUGUAUGAUGAGACUGGCGUUUUAAACCAAAAGUGAAUACCCAGUUAAGGCUGACAUGUGUGGCUGCAGAUCAGUAUUUGGAACUCUCGAAUUCAGCUUUAAGCACAAAGUGAAGCCAGUCCAGCUAACAGCAAAGAGAAAUGGAUGGAGCUGGAACCAUGAAGCGGAGAAGGCAUGGCAAAAUCUCAAGAAAGUACUCACAAAAGAACCUGUGUUGAAAUUCUAUGAUGCUGGGAGACCCAUCAAAAUCUCAUGUGAUGCAUCUCAAGCAGGCUUAGGGGCAGUAUUACUCCAAAAACAUGAUCAGGAAUGGAUAUGCAUCUUGUUCAUUAUCUGAUCCAGAAACAAGGUAUGCCCAAAUUGAAAAUGAAUUGCUCAGCAUUACGUUUGCUUGUGAGAGAUUUCAUCAGUUUGUGUCAGGACAAUCUAUUGAUGUUGAAAUCGAUCAUAAGCCAUUGAUUGCAUUGUUUAACAAACCCUUAAGCGACUGUCCUUUGCGAAUUCAGUGAAUGAUGAUCAAAUUGCAAAGAUAUGCGUUGAGUGUGUCAUACACACCUGGAAAAUUCAUGUACACGGCUGACACACUUUCCAGAGCUGUGGAUCCAAUAGCAAAAGACAGUCACAGGAACGUUAUUGGAGGAACUCAGCAGUUUGGGCAGCAUCCAUGGAAAAGAUCAGUCGACGUUUUGGGCCGGAACCCUUGUGUUGCUUUGACCCCAGCAUCUGCAGAUUAUUUUGUGUUUACAGGAACGUUAUUGAUGUUAAGGUAUUCAUUGAUAUGGUCAUAGAAACUGUACCUGUUGCUCCCAAAAAGUUGGAACUACUGUGUCUGGAAACAGAGAAGGACAAAAUUCAGAGUCAGGUAAUACAAGUGAUAUUGGAUGUAUGGCCAGUUAACAGGCAUGACUGUAUCUCAGUAGUACAAGAUUAUUGGAACCACAGGUCGGAAUUGUCUGUUGUGGAUUGGAUGUUGUACAAAGGUAGCAGAAUUGUUAUACCUAAAAAUCUCUGUAAAGAAAUGCUUGGGAAAAUUCAUGAAGGCCACCUAGGCAUUGAAAGAUAUAAGGGAAGGGCACGGGAAGUGAUGUUUUGGCCCAAGAUGAAUCAAGAGAUUGCAGGAUUGGUGUCUUGUUGUCAAAUAUGCCUUAAAUACCAACCUAGCAACCCUAAGGAGCCACUGCAUCCACACCCGAAUCCUCAGAGACAUUAUCAGAAGGUAGGCGUUGAUCUUUUCAUUAAUAACAACAAAGACUAUCAAUUAGUAACAGAUUGAUACUCAUUGUAUCCUGAAGUGGUGGUGUGAGCGGAACAACAGCACAGAACGUAAUUACAUGCAUGAAUCGGUUUUUUCAAGACAUUGUGUACCUGAUGAAGUUUUCACAGACAAUGGUCCACAGUUCAGUAGUGAAUACAUGAAGCAUUUUGCUCGUGAAUGGGGCUUUGUUCAUACAACAUUUAGUCCAUUUUUCCCUCAGUCUAAUGGAUUAGUUGAGAAAUCGGUAGGAAUUGUCAAGAAACUGAUGCACAAAGCAAAAGACGGUGGAGGUGAUUUUUGUAAAGCUUUGUUAGCCUACCGUAGUACUCCACUUGAAUGUGGAUUUUUGCCUGCUCAGCUCUUGAUGGGAUGACAUUUGAGAUCUAAUCUGCCAAUGGAUGAGAGCCUUCUGAGAACAGAGGAAGGUGAACAAGUGAAAAGGUGGAAAGAUGAACACAAAGCAAAGCAGAAAAUAUACUUUGAUAAUGCAAGCACGAGGAAAUCUGCAGAUGCUGGAAUUUCAAGCAACACACAUAAAAGUUGCUGGUGAACGCAGCAGGCCAGGCAGCAUCUCUAGGAAGAGGUUCAGUCGACGUUUGAUAUACUUUGAUAGAAGUUCUCAUCCAUUACCUGAACUGAAUCAGGGAGAUGAGGUAAGAAUGCAAGGAAAAAUGAACACAUAGACACAGAAAACUACAGUACUUGAAGAAGUACAACCCAGAUCUUACAUGGUCCAAACAGAGGAGGGAGCAGUGGUAAGAAGAAACCACAAAGACCUCAAGAAAGAGCCAACUUCAGAGAUUCAGUUAACGGAUGCAGACGAGACAAAACAUACAUCCACGGAAACAGAAGAGUGCCACAAAGAAUGAGUGACAGUUAAAAUGCUAGAACCUCAAAGCCUCCCCUACUCCCCCUCCCACACACAAGCAGCAGCAUAGCCUUGACCCUCCCCCAUCUCCACCCACUUCUGCAAAAAAGCAUCAGCACGCUCCAUUCGCCAACCAUGCAAUAGCAAGUCCCCGAUAAAGGUCAUGAUCUGCAGUAGAAGAGAAACUAAUUGUUCACCCGAUAAUUCAACAUCCCACAGGCUCUCUCUCUCUCUCUAAUAAAGGGUAAAAGAGAUGUCUCCUUUCACAGCAAGAGGAAAGACAUAACAAAACAACCCACUGAUUUAAAAGUCUGUCACGCCACCUUUUUUCCAAGUUCUAUGCCCUGUGAAUUGGCAGUAAUCUCUCACCCACCAGUGAGACAGGGAGAGCACAACGCAGCCUCCGACAGCUGAUCCACUGUUCCCGACGUUCCGUUCUCUCCCGUGACACAUCAGUCAGCAGCACUGGCAUAGAAUCAGUUCGUCCGCAGGGUCACGAAACCUUGGAACCCCAAAGGCACACUCGUCUGCCAGGCUGUGUCUUUGGGAUAUCAAAGUGCACACGGCCGUGAUCGCCCGGAGUGGGCCCCACCACCGCAAAGAACCGAAGUCUGAGGUCAGGGUCUUCAACAGAGACACAUACUUUAUACUUUAUACUUUAUUGUCGCCAAACAAUUAGUACUAGAACGUACAAUCAUCACAACGAUAUUUGAAUCUGCGCUUCACACUCCCUGGAUUACAAAUAUUAAAUAUUAAAAAUAUUAAAAAUAGUUAAAACUAGUAAAUAUUAAAAAUUUAAUAUUUACAUCCACCCUGGCAGGGAAAAGGAGAGACAUCCAAGGUAGAAAUUAAGCUGUUUUCGUAGGUGAAUGCAAAGAGAUGACAUUUAGCACCAUCAAGACUCCACCAUUAUGUUGUAUAUCUGGUUGCUUUUUUUUUGUUGAUACUUUGGGUGACUUUGAUCGAGGUGGCCUGCAGAUAAUGGGUGACACAGUGCUAGAUUGAAAUGAACUGAGCUGAGCUGAAUACCCCUGGAUUCCUUCAUUUUUGUGUUUUAUAUUCUGUGUUUUUUGUUUUUAUUUUUGCCUUUUGCACAAUUUGCUGGGGGUUUGAUGUUUUCCUUUGAACAGUUCCCCUAGUGUUCGUUUGUUUCGUGGCUGUCUGUAGUGAAGAUGAAUCUCAGGGUUGUAUACUCUAUACAUGCUUUGAUAAUAAAUGUACUUUGAAGAGAAUGUUCAUUGUAUUGGGAUGAGAGGAAAGCAAGACAACACUGCUAUUGCCACAUUUUUGAUUGAAUAUUUUGCUUUUAAAAGAACAUUCUGAUCUGGAAGGUAUGUUCACUGGCAAU